AGUGAACGCUGGCGGCAGGCCUAAUAUAUGCAAGUCGAACGGCAGCACAGCAGAGCUUGCUCUGUGGGUGGCGAGUGGCGGACGGGUGAGGAAUACGUGGGAAUCUGCCCAGUCGUGGGGGAUAACGUAGGGAAACUUACGCUAAUACCGCAUGCGCCCUUCGGGGGAAAGCCGGGGACCUUCGGGCCUGGCGCGAUUGGAUGAGCCCACGUCGGAUUAGCUAGUUGGCGGGGUAAAGGCCCACCAAGGCGACGAUCCGUAGCUGGUCUGAGAGGAUGAUCAGCCACACUGGAACUGAGACACGGUCCAGACUCCUACGGGAGGCAGCAGUAGGGAAUAUUGGACAAUGGGCGCAAGCCUGAUCCAGCCAUGCCGCGUGAGUGAAGAAGGCCCUCGGGUUGUAAAGCUCUUUUGUCCGGAAAGAAAAGCGCCGGGUUAAUACCCUGGUGUCCUGACGGUACCGGAAGAAUAAGCACCGGCUAACUUCGUGCCAGCCGCCGCAGUAAGAC
rnacentral:rRNA from 1 species